rnacentral:rRNA from 1 species
UGAACGCUGGCGGCGUGCCUAACACAUGCAAGUCGAACGAAGCAAUUAAAAUGAAGUUUUCGGAUGGAUUUUUGAUUGACUGAGUGGCGGACGGGUGAGUAACGCGUGGAUAACCUGCCUCACACUGGGGGAUAACAGUUAGAAAUGACUGCUAAUACCGCAUAAGCGCACAGUACCGCAUGGUACGGUGUGAAAAACUCCGGUGGUGUGAGAUGGAUCCGCGUCUGAUUAGCCAGUUGGCGGGGUAACGGCCCACCAAAGCGACGAUCAGUAGCCGACCUGAGAGGGUGACCGGCCACAUUGGGACUGAGACACGGCCCAAACUCCUACGGGAGGCAGCAGUGGGGAAUAUUGCACAAUGGGCGAAAGCCUGAUGCAGCGACGCCGCGUGAGUGAAGAAGUAUUUCGGUAUGUAAAGCUCUAUCAGCAGGGAAGAAAAUGACGGUACCUGACUAAGAAGCCCCGGCUAACUACGUGCCAGCAGCCGCGGUAAUACGUANGGGGCAAGCGUUAUCCGGAUUUACUGGGUGUAAAGGGAGCGUAGACGGCGAAGCAAGUCUGAAGUGAAAACCCAGGGCUCAACCCUGGGACUGCUUUGGAAACUGUUUUGCUAGAGUGUCGGAGAGGUAAGUGG